UACUCAUCUUUACAUUCCAGUUCCCUGUGACUGGCCAUUCAUAUAAUAAAGCUUAAUAAUUUGAAUUAUAGUAAAUAAGGAAAGCAAGAUACAUUUUUUAAAAAUUUAAUUUAAUUUUUUAUUUCUUCGGGGUCAUAUUCUAAUCAUUUUUUUUUGUAUUACAGUUUUUUUGGUCUUAAUAAGGUCUUUUUGCCCACAUAGUUGAUGACUCUGAAACGAGGAGAGAAUUUAACCACUCAGUUUUCUGACAUGUCACUGGAUCCUACCCAGUAGUAUCAGAAGGAAGCUGAAAAUGGUGUUAGCUGCACUUAGGACAAACAAAAAUCAUUCCAGGUAAAAUAACCUUGUAAAGAAAAGUUAUAGUGUAUUAUAGAGGCCUUGGCUAGGUUCAUGAUGACAAAGGACCUUGUCUGAACAUAAUGAUUUCAAAACUUGAGCUUAAAUGACACUCUGAAAUCUAGUCAAUGUGCCUCAGUAGACUUUUCAUAGAACAUUAUUUUCAACAGAUAAAUUUUGACUUAUUGUGGAACUUUGAAUACUUAGAAAUGUCAGGUGUAAAUUGGCAGUAUACAUUGCCAUCUCUUCAGACAUCUUUUUUUAAGUUUUCAUAAGAUAUUCUGAGCUCAUUAUUUUUCCCUUCUUUUUAAACAUGCAUGCUGUUGAAAGCAAAAAAGGAAACUCAUCCUUAGAUCCCAGAAGGUACACACACAUGCUGAGAUGGAAGCAAGGACAUGUAAAAGGGAGACGGCCACCUCUUCGAUAAAACAUAGAAUGCCAGAAUUAGUGAUGUCCAGGAAAGAGGGGAACUCAUAUUUGUGGAACAUGUAUUAUAAAAUGCAGUGAGUAUGGGGUGAGAGGAUCUCUCCUGCUUAAUUGAGAUGAUGAAGGACCAAUAAGAGAGCAGUUUUUGAAAUCCAGUUCCAAGGAUAUAUUUGUUUUAGAUGUGAAUGCUGAUUAAUGACUUCAGGUGUUAAAUGCAGCAAGUCCAUCUAUGCCAAAAAAGUACAUGAUGAAAAGAAGAGAUUUAUAGAUAACCUGAGGACAACUGACACCAGGAAUAUCCCUCAUGCUAUGGACUUCUUUAAUGUAAAAGUUUUAACUGGGAACAAUAGGUAAGAAGUUCUGGACCAAUAAGUAGUGUUUUAAUACAAGGCUUUGGCAAGAUUCAGGAAAAUAUCACUGGGGCAGACUUUGGAAUAUUGAAUGGUUCUGAGAAUUGGUGAGAAAAUCAAUUCUUUCCAAAGAUAAUUUUUGCUGAAAUAGAGAUGUGGAUUAGAUGUAGAAUGUAGGAGAUUAUUUGUGAAUUCAUUCAAUUAAUAACCUUAUUUAUAAUGAAAUAUCAUGACAUAAUAUUAUAAAGGUAAUGAGCAAUUGUUCAUUAGUUGGACAGAAUUUUUGCAGGUAAAUUUUAUAGUGUGUUAAAGGGAGAAGUUCAUGGAAACAAAAUAAAGGGGAAACCUCUUGCA
rnacentral:lncRNA from 1 species